rnacentral:lncRNA from 1 species
UCAAAACAAUAAUUAAUAUUGCAUUGAACUUAGAAAACAAUAAGUAAUUAAGAAUAAAAAUUUAAUGCAAUACAUUCUUAUUCCCUCUCUUCCUUUUUCUCUCACUAUAGUUAUUGACUUGUUGUCCAAUAAAAACAAGGGAAAAGAAAGUUGUUCAAAAAUUGUUGUACAAAUAUCAUUUCUCUAAUUUUGAAAGCUUGAAACUUUCUAAUGGUUGUGGCUGGGUUUAUAUAUGGGCCUAGGUCGACCAACUCAACAAAGUGAAAUUUUUCUCUUGCCACUCCCUGUAUUUCUUUUCUACCCCCUAAUUUUUCAUUUU